AGCAGAGUGGCAAUGUGGAAGCGUGCUGGGCCCAGAACCCGGAAAUCAAUGUAUCAAAACCAUCCUCUGCUA